rnacentral:rRNA from 1 species
AAACCAACAGGGAUUGCCUCAGUAGCGGCGAGUGAAGCGGCAAAAGCUCAAAUUUGAAAUCUGGUAGCUUUGCUAUCCGAGUUGUAAUUUGUAGAAGACUGUCUUUGUAAGGGUGCCUGUCUAAGUUCCUUGGAACAGGACGUCGCAGAGGGUGAGAAUCCCGUGUGAUGGGUGGCCCGAACUUUUAAGACGUUUUCGAAGAGUCGAGUUGUUUGGGAAUGCAGCUCUAAGUGGGUGGUAAAUUCCAUCUAAAGCUAAAUAUUGGCGAGAGACCGAUAGCGAACAAGUACAGUGAUGGAAAGAUGAAAAGAACUUUGAAAAGAGAGUGAAACAGUACGUGAAAUUGUUGAAAGGGAAGGGUAUUUGAUCCGACAUGGGAUUUACUCAUCAUUGCUCCUUGUGGGUGGUGCUCUGGGUUUUUCCUGGGCCAGAAUCAGUUUGUGUGGCAGGAUAAAGGCUUGGGGAAGUAACUCUUCUGGAGUAAUAUAACCCUUGUUAAUGCUGCCUAUGCGGACUGAGGAAUGCGGUAUUUUACCAAGGAUUCUGGCAUAACGAUUAAAUACCGC